AAAUGAAUAGACGGGGACCCGCACAAGCGGUGGAGCAUGUGGUUUAAUUCGAAGCAACGCGAAGAACCUUACCAGGUCUUGACAUCUCUUGCAUACCCUAGAGAUAGGGGAAAUCCUUCGGGACAAGAAGACAGGUGGUGCAUGGUUGUCGUCAGCUCGUGUCGUGAGAUGUUGGGUUAAGUCCCGCAACGAGCGCAACCCUUAUAAUUAGUUGCCAGCAUUCAGAUGGGGACUCUAAUUAGACUGCCGGUGACAAACCGGAGGAAGGUGGGGAUGACGUCAAAUCAUCAUGCCCCUUAUGACCUGGGCUACACACGUGCUACAAUGGAUGAUACAACGAGCAGCGAACUCGCGAGGGUAAGCGAAUCUCUUAAAGUCAUUCUCAGUUCGGAUUGUUCUCUGCAACUCGAGAACAUGAAGCCGGAAUCGCUAGUAAUCGCGGAUCAGAACGCCGCGGUGAAUACGUUCCCGGGUCUUGUACACACCGCCCGU
rnacentral:rRNA from 1 species